GUGCUCACUUCAGCAGCAUAUAUACUAACAUUGGAACAAUACAGAGAAGACUACCAUGGCCCCUGACAUGGAUGACAUGCAAAUUCAUGAAGCAUUCCAUAUUUUU